rnacentral:rRNA from 2 species
CAGACCUCUAAUCGGAAAAGACCACGCGCUGAGUUUAA